rnacentral:lncRNA from 1 species
NNNNNNUGCCGGGUCCCGGCUCGGGAGAGGGUCCCCGGGUCGCCAAACGCCGGCGGGGCGGCUGCAGGGCUGCGUCCUGGCAGGGGGAUGUCACCGAAAUCGACGGGGGGGGCGGUUCCCAGGGGCCGCCAAGUCCCGACGGAGCGGCCGGGGGGCUGCAUCCCGGCGUGGUGAGGGCUCCCUGGGGCUGCUGGACCCCGACGGGGCGGCGGGGGGCUGCGUCCCGGCACGGAGCGGGGGGGCUCCCCAGGGAGCAGGCGUCUGGCCCGGCCUCCCCCCGGGCCCCCGUCUCCGCUAACAGGCGCCGCGAGGCUCCGAGGGGCUUUUCCCACCUCGCCGGCUGCAGCGUCGGCCGGGGAUGCUCCGGGCGCGGGAUCUCCUUGCAUGCCGGCCGCAGCUCCCGGCUGCCUGUGCGGCACCUGCACCUCCGGCUCAGCCGGCACGAGCUCCGGCAGCUCCGGAGGGACGGGAGCCUCCCGCCCCAACGAGGUUUCCGGGAGCAGCCGGGCCGGCCGACGCGGCCUCCCUGCCGGCGCUCCGACAGGGCGGGCUGGUUCCCGCUCCGGGGGCGGGAGGCUCCGUUGGAUCCCGGCCGCGUUCCCGCCGUGGGGCCGGCCGCCGGGCCACGGCCUCGACGCGCGGGCGGGAUCCCGGCCGUCGCCAUCCGACGGGGCCGGCGCUCGGUGCCGGGAGCUGCCGGAGCACCCGUGUGCCGGCGCCGUGGCCGCUCCGCGCUCGCCGGUGGUGUUCCCAGGUGCGCGAGCUGGGAGCGGGGACCGGGAUCGGGCUCUCGGCAGACGCUCCGGGUGGGGGAACGCCGGCGGCGGCUCCGCAGCGUCCCCAAGCCCCGUCUGGGGACGCAGCUUGUGCCGGCAGCUGGCGGCUGGGGAAGUUCAGCCGAGCUUUUCCGGGGAGGAAAAGCGACUUGUGAAUCGCUGCCUGGUGGCUCGUAGUAACACGGCGGGAGCGUGUGCGAGGCGCCGCGUCCUUCCGGCGGUGCGGAGGGGGAAGCGGCACCUCCGGCCCCGCCAGCCGGAUAAUUUAUGCACACGGAGCGCAGCAGAUGGUCCGGGCUUGUUCUUCCCUCCUCUCCUCUCACCCGCCGCUGCCGAGGAGGGAGCGGAUCCCACCAGGCGCCGGGGCCGGGGCCGCUCCGGGACGGGUGGUCUGGCACCUCCGCGGGGCCAGGAG